rnacentral:misc_RNA from 1 species
CGGCAGACGGACAUCGAUCGCUCGCAGAUCGGUGACCAGGCGCGACGGUUUGUCACGCGCGGGAUGCUUGGCUUAGCCGACCACCGCGCCGACCACGCCGGCCGGAAACCGCAUGCGUAUCCUGAUCCCAUGGCUGCCUCCAUGGUCUACCUGAAGCACAGCUAUCCACCCAUCCACUAUCGUGAAAGCGUGCGCAUCAUCCAGCGCAAGGAUGGCUACGUCACCAACCAUAGCACCGUCAAGCGCUUGUUGGCGGGACAUCCUGUGCCGGUCCAGUGACCGUUGCACCUCACCCACUUGCAUGCGUUUGAUGCUGCCUAGCAAGCCCGCUGGACUGUGGU